UGGCUCAGAGGUGAAAGCAUCUGCCUCCAAUGCGGGAGACCCAGGUUCGAUCCCUGG
rnacentral:tRNA from 1 species